UCAAGAGUAAAGGGUAUUAUUGAGUUUUUAGUUCUACUCGCCCUUUCUUGCAGAUCCUUUUUCCUUUGUUGAUCCUAUCGACCUUUUCAUGGUCACACCGCCUCGACUCAGGCAUCACAAUCACAAGUCGGUCCUAAUCAAAGAUGCUACUUCCAAGUUCUUCAGCACGGUCAUCAUCCUCUCCGAGAUCAACACGGAUAUGUGAUUUUGGACAUGCUCAAUCACAGAGCUUAACCCGUCUUAUUUGUGCAGCAGCCAACUCAUGGGUAAAUUGCUGAUUGCCUUGGGAUUUGCCAGUGUCUUUCUAAGCUUCUGUCCGUCUUUCUAGGCAUUCAUCCGGUGCAUGGAAGAAAGGUUUGGUAUGAGCAUGGAAUCGGGCCUUUGUCAGCGAAUGGAUUUACGGUCGAAACACCUUGACUCAAUGCAAUGGAGAGUUUCGAUGGUUGCAGUGGAGUUGAAUUAUCCGGUGGACUUUUCUAAGAUUAUGGAAUUCGAAGGGUUUGGAAGACGGGCUAAGGUUACAAGUUUAUGGUUAUCGGAUGUCCCUGCGGGCUGAACACCUUGGCAAACUGGAGGAUAGUUUUCAAGAACCACAAAGCCUAGAAUGUGUUUUUAAUUGUUCUAAAUUAUGUUUUAUUUUAUAUGUACUUGAAGUUUAUGGCUAGAUGGGAGCAGAAAAAGUCUGUCGGUGGAGGAAAAAAGAAGGAAGUGAAGGAGACUGGUUUGGGUCUCUCUUUUACUAAGGAUGAAAAUUUCAAAGAAUGGUACUUUGAGGU